rnacentral:rRNA from 1 species
UAGGGAAUCUUCGGCAAUGGACGAAAGUCUGACCGAGCAACGCCGCGUGAGUGAAGAAGGUUUUCGGAUCGUAAAACUCUGUUGGUAGAGAAGAACGUUGGUGAGAGUGGAAAGCUCAUCAAGUGACGGUAACUACCCAGAAAGGGACGGCUAACUACGUGCCAGCAGCCGCGGUAAUACGUAGGUCCCGAGCGUUGUCCGGAUUUAUUGGGCGUAAAGCGAGCGCAGGUGGUUUAUUAAGUCUGGUGUAAAAGGCAGUGGCUCAACCAUUGUAUGCAUUGGAAACUGGUAGACUUGAGUGCAGGAGAGGAGAGUGGAAUUCCAUGUGUAGCGGUGAAAUGCGUAGAUAUAUGGAGGAACACCGGUGGCGAAAGCGGCUCUCUGGCCUGUAACUGACACUGAGGCUCGAAAGCGUGGGGAGCAAACAGGAUUAGAUACCCUGGUAGUCCACGCCGUAAACGAUGAGUGCUAGAUGUAGGGAGCUAUAAGUUCUCUGUAUCGCAGCUAACGCAAUAAGCACUCCGCCUGGGGAGUAC